UGAGACAAUGAUUGAAGACCGAUUCCCCUUCAAUUAGAAAGACACUUGCAGAGCAGCGUCUGCAGCAUGAGCUGCCUUCUGCUUACCGUGCAGGGCGCCUGGUCACUGGGAGGUCUGGGGUCUUGGCAUGGAAUGGCUCCUCCAGGCCCAUUAGAAAUGGUUGAUUCAUGAAUAGCCAGAUGGGCUGAUAGCAGAAGCCACAACUGCACGUUUGUCUGUCUGAGUUGUCCCCAGUAGGCCUGGCCUGGUCCAGCAGCAACCCACUUCCAGCUCCUGCACACGUACCCCUUCAACAAGAGGCCAGUCCGGUGGCCACUCAAAACAGAACUUGUUUUUCCACAGUGGUACAAUUUCCUUUCUUUUUCUCUCUGGCUGGGUUCCUUCUUAAUUCACCAACUAAUAUAUGUAACUGAAAUAAUCCAAAUUCUAACCAUUUAAACUAAAAUUUAUCAUCUCAAAAAGUGGUCUUGGAAGGUACUUAUGAAGGUAUCUUUAUCAAAGUAUUUCUUCUUAAUCAUAAAGAGAAAAUUGACAAGACUAUAGUCAUGUAAAAAUAUGGCUUAAGAUAUUGGGGAAAAGGUUGAGAUUAAUUAUCAGAGAGCAACAGCAAAGUAAUUUAAAAAACUUUCCUAAAAACAUUAAUGAUAAAAGAUAAACUUCCCCAGGCAAUUCAAUUUCAUAUGCUGUUGACCCUUACUUGAAAGUGAAUAUAAUUUAGAAGUUGAUAAGCUAGGUUUCAGCAAAUUAGACAUUAGUAAACUUAGAUUGAAAAACUGAAUGCACAAGGUUAAAAGAGGAUCUUUCCAGUUUCGGUCAGUAUCCUCACUCUAUUUUAGAAAUGCAAAUUAUCCAGGUGUUGUUUUGCUCAGAGGGAACUUUCAGAACUGUGGUGCUGGGCAAAACACUUCAAAACCACAUUUCCACAACUAAUGCUAUAAAUUCACCUGUGGUGUUUUUCUUGGUUCCUAAAAUAGACUCUUGACAUGACUUGCUUCCAGCCACCUGCAGCAGGUGUCCUGGCCCCAGGAGGCCAUCUUGACUCUAACUCAGCAACUACUCCUGGCAUCACUCAAUCAAUUAAAAAAAAUAAGCUUGCUUUAUUAUGAUCACAUCUCAGUUCUGAACCAAGGGAAACCUUGGCUAGACUGUCAGAAUGCCAAUUCCAAAUGACACACAAUUGCUGAGAGGUAAAGGUUUUAAAUACUUAGACAUUAAAAAAUUGAAUGUAGUUGAAAACCUCUCAUGUUUCUAAGUCACACUUUGCUUUCAUAGGAGCCACUUAUCUUCUAACACUUAGCAGGCACUCUUGCCAGCAUUUUAACCCAGACGCACUCCCCUGGCCUUCCCCAGUCUCUGGGCAGUGGCUGCCCUUUCUCUCAAGACAAAGGCACAUCUAUCAAAAGACAAUUGUCAGAUUUACUUA